GGGGACUUAGGAUAACAUAUAAACCAAGAGCCUUCAAAGCUCUAAAGAGAAGUGAGAACCUUCUAGCCCCCG
rnacentral:tRNA from 1 species